rnacentral:rRNA from 1 species
ACAAGAGUUGUUGCUGGUCCUCGAAUGGGGGCAUGUGCACGCUCUGUUCACACAUCCACUCACACCCUGUGCACCCUCUGUAGUUCUAUGGUCGGGGGCCUGUCCUCCUGCUGUGGUCCUGCAUCUUUACACACACACUGUAACAAAGUCUCAUGGAAUGCAUGCCGCGUUUAACGCAAUACAAUACAACUUUCAGCAACGGAUCUCUUGGCUCUCGCAUCGAUGAAGAACGCAGCGAAAUGCGAUAAGUAAUGUGAAUUGCAGAAUUCAGUGAAUCAUCGAAUCUUUGAACGCACCUUGCGCCCUUUGGCCAUUCCGAAGGGCAUGCCUGUUUGAGUAUCAUGAACACCUCAACUCUUCAUGGUUUUCCAUGAUGAGCUUGGACUUUGGGGGCUUUGCUGGCCUACAGUCAGCUCCUCUAAAAUGAAUCAGCUUGCCAGUGUUUGGUGGGCAUCACAGGUGUGAUAACUAUCUACGCUUGUGGUUUUCCACCAGGUAGCCUUCAGCAGUGGAGGUUCACUGGAGCUCACAGAUGUCUCUCCUCAGUGAGGACAGCCCUUUGAAUGUUUGAUCUCAAAUCAGGUAGGACUACCCGCUGAACUUAAGCAUAUCAAUAAGCGGAGGAAAAGAAACUAACAAGGAUUCCCCUAGUAACUGCGAGUGAAGCGGGAAGAGCUCAAAUUUAAAAUCUGGCGUGCCU